rnacentral:ncRNA from 1 species
UACGCUAGGGGAGCAGAUGCUGAGAUUGGCCCUUAAGGACCGGGACCCUCAUGACCUGAACCGGACAAUGCCGGCGUAGGGAAGCAU